rnacentral:misc_RNA from 1 species
GUUAACAAUAAUCAAAACUAUCUUCAUCAGCAUCAGCUUCCAAAUUCCAGCUACCAAACACCAAGUUCCAUUUUUUACACUCAAAUCCCAGCCUCAAACCCUCUUUUCACCUUCCAGACCAAUCCAAAUAUGUCUAGCUACUUCCCAAACUCUAGCUUUGGUGCUAAUGACCAAAUCCUUUUAAGAGCACUGGCUGCAAAUUCUGAAACAUCUGUGCAGCAAGAGAAACACUGCAAGGUUGAACAAUUUUCAUCUAACCAAUCUGUGGCCACCCUCUCACAAGACACUGGUCUGAGCACUGACGUGAACAACACCGCCGAGAUAUCAUCGGUGGUGUCGAAGCAAGAAAUGGGAAGCAACAAGGUGUACGAUGGUCUUGAAGGUCCAUCAUCAGUUGGCCCCAUUGGAGAUUUGGAGAGCUUGUGGGAUUACUAAUCAUGGAUGGUGAAUAUAUCCUGAGUGCUGCCUGUUCUAUAAGAUUCUUAGGAAUAUAUGUGAUGAUUUGAAACAGUCUUCUCUCCACUAGCUAGGUGAUUUGAUUAUAGUUAAUUUUAAAAGGUUCUUGGCUUCAAAAAUUAAUACUUUUGUAUAGAUUAUAGGUUAAAAAUUCCAUGUGUUUAAGCCUUUUUCAGAUUUCAUUUUUAGUGAGAUACAGAGGGAAAGAUACCGUG